UUUCCGUAGGUGAACCUGCGGAAGGAUCAUUAAAGUUAUAGUCCCCCGGCCCUCCGGGCUGGGGUCUUCUAUACCACCCUUUGUUUAUUACACCUUUGUUGCUUUGGCAAGCCUGCCCUCGGGCUGCUGGCUCCGGCCGGCUCGCGUCUGCCAGAGGACCUAAACUCUGUUUGUAUAUGAAGUCUGAGUACUAUAUAAUAGUUAAAACUUUCAACAACGGAUCUCUUGGUUCUG
rnacentral:misc_RNA from 1 species